CGAAGAAAUGAACCAGUUUGGUUCAACUUUGUAUCGGAGCUUGAUUCGUUUUGUGAUAAUCACGUGACCAGUGACGUCCGAAGCUUCUUUUCACACACACACACACACACACACAC